CCCGGCUCCUUCCUUCCCUCCAUCCCUCCACCCCUCCGCUGGUGCGGCUCCUUCCUUCCCUCCAUCCCUCCACCCCUCUGCCGGUGCGGAUCCUUCCUUCCCUCCAUCCCUCCACUGGCCCGGCUCCUUCCUUCCCUCCAUCCCUCCACCCCUCUGCCGGUGCAGAUCCUUCCUUCCCUCCAUCCCUCCACCCCUCCGCCGGUGCGGCUCCUUCCUUCCCUCCAUCCCUCCACCCCUCUGCCGGUGCGGAUCCUUCCUUCCCUCCAUCCCUCCACUGGCCCGGCUCCUUCCUUCCCUCCAUCCCUCCACCCCUCUGCCGGUGCGGAUCCUUCCUUCCCUCCAUCCCUCCACUGGCCCGGCUCCUUCCUUCCCUCCAUCCCUCCACCCCUCUGCCGGUGCGGAUCCUUCCUUCCCUCCAUCCCUCCACUGGCCCGGCUCCUUCCUUCCCUCCAUCCCUCCACCCCUCUGCCGGUGCGGAUCCUUCCUUCCCUCCAUCCCUCCACUGGCGCGGCUCCUUCCUUCCCUCCAUCCCUCCACCCCUCCGCCGGUGCGGAUCCUUCCUUCCCUCCAUCCCUUCACUGGCCCGGCUCCUUCCUUCCCUCCAUCCUUCCACCCCUCUGCCGGCCCGGCUCCUUCCAUCCCUCCACCCCUCCGCCGGUGCGGCUCCUUCCUUCCCUCCAUCCCUCCACCCCUCCGCCGGUGCGGAUCCUUCCUUCCCUCCAUCCCUUCACUGGCCCGGCUCCUUCCUUCCCUCCAUCCUUCCACCCCUCUGCCGGCCCGGCUCCUUCCAUCCCUCCACCCCUCCGCCAGUGCGGAUCCUUCCUUCCCUCCAUCCCUCCAGCGGCCCGGCUCCUUCCUUCCCUCCAUCCCUCCACCCCUCCGCCGGUGCAGAUCCUUCCUUCCCUCCAUCCCUCCGCUGGUCCAGAUCCUUCCUUCCCUCUACCCCUCCGCCAGUGCAGAUCCUUCCUUCCCUCCAUCGGCCGUGCUCUUUCCUUCCCUCCACCCCUCUGCUGGCACGGCUCCUUCCUUCCCUCCAUCCCUCAGCCUGCCCAGCUCCUUCCUUCCCUCCAUCCCUCCACCGGCGUGGAUCCUUCCUUCCCUCCAUCCCUCCACCGGCGCGGCUCCUUCCUUCCCUCCACCCCUCCGCCGGCGCGGCUCCUUCCUCCCCCUCCAUAUCUCCAUCCCUCUGCCGGCCCGGCUCCUUCCUUCCCUCCAUCCCUCCACCGGCCCGGCUCCUUCCUUCCCUCCACAUUUCCGCCGGCGUGGCUCCUUCCUUCCCUCCACCGACCCAGCUCCUUCCUUCCCCUCCAUAUCUCCAUCCCUCUGCCGGCCCGGCUCCUUCCUUCCCUCCAUCCCUCCACCGGCCCGGCUCCUUCCUUCCCUCCAUCCCUCCGCCAGCGCGGCUCCCUCCAUCUCUGCCCCCUGUUCCCCAG
rnacentral:lncRNA from 1 species